UUCUACCAUUUCCUAGCUA
rnacentral:sRNA from 1 species